UGGCUCAGGAUGAACGCUAGCUACAGGCUUAACACAUGCAAGUCGAGGGGCAGCAUGGUCUUAGCUUGCUAAGGCCGAUGGCGACCGGCGCACGGGUGAGUAACACGUAUCCAACCUGCCGUCUACUCUUGGACAGCCUUCUGAAAGGAAGAUUAAUACAAGAUGGCAUCAUGAGUCCGCAUGUUCACAUGAUUAAAGGUAUUCCGGUAGACGAUGGGGAUGCGUUCCAUUAGAUAGUAGGCGGGGUAACGGCCCACCUAGUCUUCGAUGGAUAGGGGUUCUGAGAGGAAGGUCCCCCACAUUGGAACUGAGACACGGUCCAAACUCCUACGGGAGGCAGUAGUGAGGAAUAUUGGUCAAUGGGCGAGAGCCUGAACCAGCCAAGUAGCGUGAAGGAUGACUGCCCUAUGGGUUGUAAACUUCUUUUAUAAAGGAGUAAAGUCGGGUAUGCAUACCCGUUUGCAUGUACUUUAUGAAUAAGGAUCGGCUAACUCCGUGCCAGCAGCCGCGGUAAUACGGAGGAUCCGAGCGUUAUCCGGAUUUAUUGGGUUUAAAGGGAGCGUAGAUGGAUGUUUAAGUCAGUUGUGAAAGUUUGCGGCUCAACCGUAAAAUUGCAGUUGAUACUGGAUAUCUUGAGUGCAGUUGAGGCAGGCGGAAUUCGUGGUGUAGCGGUGAAAUGCUUAGAUAUCACGAAGAACUCCGAUUGCGAAGGCAGCCUGCUAAGCUGCAACUGACAUUGAGGCUCGAAAGUGUGGGUAUCAAACAGGAUUAGAUACCCUGGUAGUCCACACGGUAAACGAUGAAUACUCGCUGUUUGCGAUAUACAGCAAGCGGCCAAGCGAAAGCGUUAAGUAUUCCACCUGGGGAGUACGCCGGCAACGGUGAAACUCAAAGGAAUUGACGGGGGCCCGCACAAGCGGAGGAACAUGUGGUUUAAUUCGAUGAUACGCGAGGAACCUUACCCGGGCUUAAAUUGCAGAUGAAUUACGGUGAAAGCCGUAAGCCGCAAGGCAUCUGUGAAGGUGCUGCAUGGUUGUCGUCAGCUCGUGCCGUGAGGUGUCGGCUUAAGUGCCAUAACGAGCGCAACCCUUGUUGUCAGUUACUAACAGGUUCCGCUGAGGACUCUGACAAGACUGCCAUCGUAAGAUGUGAGGAAGGUGGGGAUGACGUCAAAUCAGCACGGCCCUUACGUCCGGGGCUACACACGUGUUACAAUGGGGGGUACAGAGGGCCGCUACCACGCGAGUGGAUGCCAAUCCCAAAACCUCUCUCAGUUCGGAUCGAAGUCUGCA
rnacentral:rRNA from 1 species